UGAGAAUCAUCUGGUUUAGAAAAUUAAUAUCUUCUAAACCAAAAUUGUUUUUGACUUGAUUCCAAUUCGACGAGCUCCUCUGAUGAGUCAAGAAUGUAGGAAAAUUCACUUCGUAUCUUAAAUCCUUCUUCUCAGGUCGGAAUCCUCCAAUACGUAGCUGCCGGUCUCCAUCAGGUUCAUUGGAAGUCUGCUGACUUUUAACUUGAAUAUCUCCCUCAUGUGGAAAGCUUUUGAAACAAUUCCACCUCUCCGUGAUUCCUUGAUGAGUUAAGUUUCUUGAAUAAGUUGAUUUGUAGCCUAACUCUUCCUGGAUGGGCUGAUAUACAGCAAGAAAGACACAUAUGUCUUUGGUACGCUCAUGUUUGUUCUCUCCGGGGUUCUUGGUCGGUUGGUCGGUGUUUUCUCUCUGAUCCUUGGUUGAUGAUGACUUGAUGUCCUCAUCAUACUCUCCCUCUUGAAAAGGUUUCGACCUCGAAACUAUAUCUCCUGCACCAAGAGAAAGCAAGUUAGCUUUCAUUCGCUUUUGUGAGCUUAGGGUCUUACCUUGAUAUGCUUGAGGUUUGGUGAUGUGAGGUUCAUCAGGUGGCUCUCCUUUGAGCAGAUAAGAUAGGAUUACGCCUCUGUUUUGCUCUGGUGCAUGGCUCCUCUUCCUUGUAGCCGUUACCCGUUUGGUAACUUCGGUCUUGUUCACCUUUGGUGGUGAUGCCUCUUUGUGCUCAGCUUGGUCUAACAACAAGUUCUUCUCUAGUGGAGCGUCUUUAUGUGUAAUCUCUUUAGGACCUGAAAUAAUCUCAACUCUUUGGAAAAGAAACAAGUGCGUUAUACAAGAACUAAAAUUUUCCAAACUACUUUGAACUAGACUAUCAUUUGAUUCUGAAUUUAUAUCUAUAGUCUUUUCAAUUUUUCUAGUUGGACAAUUAACAGCAAAAUGUCCUCUUUUAUGACACCUAUAACAUGUUAACUCAUUUAACCUUGCCGGGUUAGAAGACUUACCUUUGUUGCUGUUGCCUUGUGCUUUAAGUAAUGGCUUAUUAGCUGCCUUGUGAGCUACAGAUUUGUAUUCUUGAUGAAUUCUCUUGGCUGGUGAAGCAACCUUUGACUUGUUGGGCUUCUUUGACAUGUCUUGUGACACUUUCUUUGGACCAUGACAGCAGAAACUUUUAGGUGUAGGCUGUGGUGCUGCAGCUACGAUCAUUCGCCUUGGCUUUGGAUUGGUAAGGACCUUAAUUUGUCUCCGAAGCUCAUCUCCAGCCUUUUCCACGUAUUCCCCAUACAUGAGCUCCUUCAUCUCUUCCCACGUAGCUUCUGGUUCAUCAUACUCAAGUCUUAUGUAAGCAUCUUGUUCCCAAUGCCUAAAGGCAUCCUCAGUUAAGGUAUCCUCCGCAUAAAUCGUCUUUUCUUUCUCCGGAAUUUGGUUAGAUGAUAACCAAUCUUCUAUCUCUUGUUCCCAACGCAAAUAAGCUUUUGGUCCUUGGUGAUGGCCUGCAAAGUUUAUGUAACGGACUUCAUCUCUUCCUACCACACUUACGUCUUCAUCCGCUUUGGUGUAUUCUUCACCGGAAUCAUCUCUUCCAGCCUCACUUUUGGCUUCGUUCUCCUGAGCAAAAUCUUCUUUAGAUUCUGGUUCGUCACCAUUGCUUGCUUGAGACUCGUCUAAACUGAUUUGGGAAUCAGUUUCUUCACACCAUGGUUUAACUCCAUCGUUUGAUGCGUCGUCAUAAUCAUCCUCGGGUAUCUCGCACCAUGGUCUGUCCUCUUCUUGGUGCUCUUCCUCAUGGUCAGAGUAAGGUAUCUCGCACCAUGGCCUAUUUUCUUGGUGUGUCUCCUCUUCUUCGGACUCACACCAUGACUUUUCUCCAUAGGGCUCGUCGGCAUUGCUCUCUUGGUCAGUCUCUCCUCUGUACCAACCUUGGUGGCUCGUGGUGUCUUGGGCUGGGUCUGGUGGUUCGGGUUCACGUUCUUCUCCAUCUGGUUCAUAUCCAAAUUCUGAACUAGAGUAAUCCUCACACCAUGAUCGUCCUUCAUAGCCAUCAUCUUCUCCGAUUAAGCUUUGGCUGUUAUCUUCCUCACCUUGCCAAUCAGCCUCGUAGGUGUAAUUCUCGUCCUCUGACUCCAUUAUCACUUCUAAAUUUUAGGGGGCGUACCUCACAAACACAAAGAAGGAAAAGUGUGUCAAAGAGUAGUUCAACAAAUAUGGCAAGAGCAAUAAUUAUAAACAAAAAUAAGGAAAUAAAUAUUUUAUUUUGCUUUUUUUUUUUUUUUUUUUGAAUCAAAAUCGAAAAUAUAAAGGAAAAACUAUUUUUUUAUUUCUCUGUUCUGAUUUUAUAAAAAUAAAAUUCCGAAAACUUAUUAAAAAAAAGGAUUUUUUUAUGGAUUUUUCUUAUAAUAAUUAUAAAAUAAAUAAUAAAAUGAAGCAAAUAAUUUUUUUUUUUUUUUAAUGAAAGUACUGAAGCAAAUCAACAAUAACAAAGCAAGAAACAAAAUUUUUAUUUAGUUUUCAAAUUUAAAAAAUUAAAUAAUAAAACUUGAAAAUUGAAAAAGAUAUAGGUUGAAAAGAUACAACCUUGGGGAUAGAAGCUUUUGAAGCUCUGAUACCAAAUGAUAUAAGAUUGGAACCAAUCCAACUUAUGAUCACUCAAUGAUCAAGAGAUUCCAAGCUUAACUUGCGGAAGGUGGAAUUCACGAGCUGGCUACAACGCACUCUCUCGUGAAUCAAGGGAUGGAAUGAUGGAUAGAUGCGAUUGACUCACUCAAUCAAUGAUCAAACCAGAAGUUUGAAUCACUCAAACAACUUGAUUUGCAGACUCAAAAGAACUUAAUUGACUCACUCAAAUAAGAACUAAUGAAAGGAAACACAAAGAAUUCGCAACUUUGUGGAAGAAAAGAAAACAAUGUUUCUUAUGAACUUUAAAAUCUCGAUUAAGGGUUUGUAUAAAUGGUACAAAUGGCUUGAGCUUUAUAGGCUCGACUCUAGACACAUAUAACGUUCAUAAACACUAAAAAAGGAAGCAAAAUACACGAAAUUAAAAGACUAAAGAAAAAGGAAAUGAUCUUGGAAGAUAUUUGACCGUUAGAAGUCAAUGCUUGGCCAAAUAAGGAAACCUUAUUCUCUCCUCUUUAUAUCUCGAAAUCUUCUUCAUAUAACCAUGUAAGAGAAGCCUCUGGUCCAUGUAGAAUCCCCCAAAAGUCGUGGUCUUCAUUAUUUUAAAUGUAUUUAGUUGUUGGAGUGCAUGGAAGGCAAUUGAGUCUUGAUAUGGAAAGUCUUGGUGUAUGAAUGGGGAAGAUUGAAUCCACCUGAUCCAAUGGCUGGAAAUGAAGCUUAAGAUGUUCUUAAGAUACUCUUGUAGCAUUAGAGACUCUCCUGGACGCCAAAGUCUGGUUUGCAAGUAACUAAACCGGUCAGCUUCCAAAUAAGGCAAGCUGAGAAUCAUCUGGUUUAGAAAAUUAAUAUCUUCUAAACCAAAAUUGUUUUUGACUUGAUUCCAAUUCGACGAGCUCCUCUGAUGAGUCAAGAAUGUAGGAAAAUUCACUUCGUAUCUUAAAUCCUUCUUCUCAGGUCGGAAUCCUCCAAUACGUAGCUGCCGGUCUCCAUCAGGUUCAUUGGAAGUCUGCUGACUUUUAACUUGAAUAUCUCCCUCAUGUGGAAAGCUUUUGAAACAAUUCCACCUCUCCGUGAUUCCUUGAUGAGUUAAGUUUCUUGAAUAAGUUGAUUUGUAGCCUAACUCUUCCUGGAUGGGCUGAUAUACAGCAAGAAAGACACAUAUGUCUUUGGUACGCUCAUGUUUGUUCUCUCCGGGGUUCUUGGUCGGUUGGUCGGUGUUUUCUCUCUGAUCCUUGGUUGAUGAUGACUUGAUGUCCUCAUCA
rnacentral:lncRNA from 1 species